AUGCAACCUUUAUUUAAACUAGGCAAGUCAGUUAAGAACAAAUUCUUAUUUACAAUAACGGCCAACAACGGCCCAAACCCGGACGACCCUGGGCCAAUUGUGCGCUGCCCUAUGGGACUCCCAAUCACAGCCGGAUAUGAUUCAGCCUUGAUAUCAUAUUCUCCUCAUAUGGUGUGUUUAUGCUUGGUUAUAUUCACCACAGGUGGUGUGUUUAUGCUUGGUUAUAUUCACCACAGGUGGUGUGUUUAUGCUUGGUUAUAUUCACCACAGGUGGUGUGUUUAUGCUUGGUUAUAUUCACCACAGGUGGUGGUGUGUUUAUGCUUGGUUAUAUUCACCACAGGUGGUGGUGUGUUUAUGCUUGGUUAUAUUCACCACAGGUGGUGGUGUGUUUAUGCUUGGUUAUAUUCACCACAGGUGGUGGUGUGUUUAUGCUUGGUUAUAUUCACCACAGGUGGUGUGUUUAUGCUUGGUUAUAUUCACCACAGGUGGUGGUGUGUUUAUGCUUGGUUAUAUUCACCACAGGUGGUGGUGUGUUUAUGCUUGGUUAUAUUCACCACAGGUGGUGGUGUGUUUAUGCUUGGUUAUAUUCACCACAGCAGGUGGUGGUGUGUUUAUGCUUGGUUAUAUUCACCACAGCAGGUGGUGGUGUGUUUAUGCUUGGUUAUAUUCACCACAGCAGGUGGUGGUGUGUUUAUGCUUGGUUAUAUUCACCACAGCAGGUGGUGGUGUGUUUAUGCUUGGUUAUAUUCACCACAGCAGGUGGUGGUGUGUUUAUGCUUGGUUAUAUUCACCACAGCAGGUGGUGGUGUGUUUAUGCUUGGUUAUAUUCACCACAGCAGGUGGUGGUGUGUUUAUGCUUGGUUAUAUUCACCACAGCAGGUGGUGGUGUGUUUAUGCUUGGUUAUAUUCACCACAGCAGGUGGUGGUGUUUUAUGCUUGGUUAUAUUCACCACAGCAGGUGGUGGUGUGUUUAUGCUUGGUUAUAUUCACCACAGCAGGUGGUGUGUUUAUGCUUGGUUAUAUUCACCACAGCAGGUGGUGGUGUGUUUAUGCUUGGUUAUAUUCACCACAGCAGGUGGUGGUGUGUUUAUGCUUGGUUAUAUUCACCACAGCAGGUGGUGGUGUGUUUUAUGCUUGGUUAUAUUCACCACAGCAGGUGGUGGUGUGUUUUAUGCUUGGUUAUAUUCACCACAGCAGGUGGUGGUGUGUUUAUGCUUGGUUAUAUUCACCACAGGUGGUGUGUUUAUGCUUGGUUAUAUUCACCACAGCAGGUGGUGGUGGUGUGUUUAUGCUUGGUUAUAUUCACCACAGGUGGUGGUGGUGUGUUUUAUGCUUGGUUAUAUUCACCACAGCAGGUGGUGGUGGUGUGUUUAUGCUUGGUUAUAUUCACCACAGCAGGUGGUGGUGUGUUUAUGCUUGGUUAUAUUCACCACAGCAGGUGGUGGUGUGUUUAUGCUUGGUUAUAUUCACCACAGGUGGUGGUGUUUUAUGCUUGGUUAUAUUCACCACAGCAGGUGGUGGUGUGUUUAUGCUUGGUUAUAUUCACCACAGCAGGUGGUGGUGGUGUUUUAUGCUUGGUUAUAUUCACCACAGCAGGUGGUGGUGUGUUUAUGCUUGGUUAUAUUCACCACAGCAGGUGGUGGUGUGUUUAUGCUUGGUUAUAUUCACCACAGCAGGUGGUGGUGUGUUUAUGCUUGGUUAUAUUCACCACAGCAGGUGGUGGUGUGUUUAUGCUUGGUUAUAUUCACCACAGCAGGUGGUGGUGUGUUUAUGCUUGGUUAUAUUCACCACAGGUGGUGGUGGUGCGUUUAUGCUUGGUUAUAUUCACCACAGCAGGUGGUGGUGCGUUUAUGCUUGGUUAUAUUCACCACAGCAGGUGGUGGUGUGUUUAUGCUUGGUUAUAUUCACCACAGCAGGUGGUGGUGGUGUUUAUGCUUGGUUAUAUUUUGUACAUUUUUCUUUAG
rnacentral:lncRNA from 8 species